rnacentral:rRNA from 1 species
GAUGAACGCUGGCGGCGUGCCUAAUACAUGCAAGUCGAGCGAACAGACGAUGCUCUUGCUCCUCUCACGUUAGCCGCGCACGUGUGAGUAACACGUGUAUCACCUCCCUAUAAGACUGGUAUAACUUCGGGACACCGGCGCUUAUACCGUAUAAUAUCUUGAACCACAUGGUUCAAUAGUGAAAGACGGUUUUGCUGUCUCUUAUAGAUGCUUCUGCGCCGCAUUAGCUAGUUGGUAAGGUCACGGCGUACCAAGGCGACGAUGCGUAGCCGACGUGAGAGGGGGGUCGCCGACACGGGAGCGGAGACACGGACAAGGCGACUAAGGGAGGGAGCAGUAGGGAAUCGUAGGCAAUGGGGGAAAGCAUGACGGAGCAACGGCGCGUGAGUGACGAAGGUCUUCGGAUCGUAAAAAUCUGUUAUGAGGGAAGAACAAAUGUGGAAGGAACUAUGCACGGCGUGACGGUACCUAAUCAGAAAGCAACGGCUAACUACGUG